CCCAGGCGCCUCUUACAUUGUUUUUUAAAUGUUCUAAUUAUUUUAUGCAAACUAUGUCUAUUUGUGCUUCGUUUCAGAUUAUGAAAAGAGCUCAUUUGUUUCACAGGAAGGUCAGCGCAGCCAUCACCUCUUCUUCCACAGGCCACCUUGGGGAGUGGAGACGCCACGGAGGGUCCUGGGGCCUGAUCCCUCGCUCGGCUCGUAAGCCGGUGGUUCCGCGCCAGGAGAGGCAAGCUGACAAGACCCGAGGGCGCUGCCCUGCCUCCACUGGCCGCCCAUUGACCAGCCCCAGAAACCGGCAGACCUCCCUCUAGGAGCUCAGCUGCCUCCAUGAUGACGCUUCGCUGGAGGCAAAAGGGAAUCUUGCCUCAACAUUAUCCCAACGCCCAGGAUCCUAGGCUUUUCAGGAAGCACCGUCUUAUUGGAACACUGUUGCGUCAGUUACUCAGGCCACAGUUUUCGAGCCUGUGGCUACUCUGUGGGAAAGAGGACGCCUGCCUCUUGGCUGGAAGUUAGUGCCCCCGCCAGAAUGGUAAUAAGACCCAGAAACUCGAUGCCCUCUCUUCAUUCUUGUCGUUCUACAAAAUUGUCUAUCUUGGUCACAGGACAGCCACCUGAGUCACCGGGACGGCUGCCAAUCUUAAGACUCCCGUGUGACGUUUCCUCCUCAUUGGUCUAAUGUGAUCCCCUCCACACCCCUGGUCUAGCCGCUUCUGGCCAUGGGCCGCCACUGGGCUCAUUGAAACCAGAAUUCGAUUGAAUUAAAACCCAACCAAGGAAGGUCACCUGGGCAGC